CCUACGGGAGGCAGCAGUGAGGAAUAUUGGUCAAUGGACGAGAGUCUGAACCAGCCAAGUAGCGUGAAGGAUGACUGCCCUAUGGGUUGUAAACUUCUUUUAUAUGGGAAUAAAAUGUUCCACGUGUGGGAUUUUGUAUGUACCAUAUGAAUAAGGAUCGGCUAACUCCGUGCCAGCAGCCGCGGUAAUACGGAGGAUCCGAGCGUUAUCCGGAUUUCUUGGGUUUAAAGGGAGCGUAGGUGGGUUGUUAAGUCAGUUGUGAAAGUUUGCGGCUCAACCGUAAAAUUGCAGUUGAAACUGGCAGUCUUGAGUACAGUAGAGGUGGGCGGAAGUCGUGGUGUAGCGGUGAAAUGCUUAGAGAUCGGGAGGAACACCAGUGGCGAAGGCGGACUACUGGGCUUUAACUGACGCUGAGGCACGAAAGCGUGGGUAGCAAACAGGAUUAGAUACCCUUGUAGUC
rnacentral:rRNA from 1 species